GAUCGUGCCACUGCACUACAGCCUGGGGGACAGAGUGAGACGCUGUUUAAAGAGGUUUAUUCUGAGCCAAAUUCCAGCCCAGCCCUACUGAAGAACAGCAACUUGAGCUGGUCUUUCUGUGCUCCGCUUGAUUAAAAUGUAGAAGGCACCUCUAUCCAGAAGACUUGGCUUGGCCCUAAUCACUCCCAGCCCCCUUGGCUGAGUGGCCACCCGCUGCUGGCUGCUGUCAUCCCACAUUGGAAGUGACGGAGGAGCAGAAGAACGAGUGGGUCACCAGCCGGUCUUCAGGCUCCCGGGCCAGCAUUCAGACUGGGCAGGAGGUUUGUGGGUGGAAGUUCCAGGUGGCCAGAGGGUCGAGACUCAUCUCACAGCCGUGCAAUAGAUGCGUGUCUCUCAGUCGGUCAGCUCUGGCUGGGAUCAGUGUUUAUCUUCAUGUCGGUGGACACCAUCACAGGCACCCGCAAGAAUCAGCGAUCGACGGGGAAGAGGUUUGGGUGCAUGGAGGAGUGCUUUGCAGUGAGGGCUUUGGAGCCUUGUGCCCUGAUUCAAAUCCUGGCUGUGUCCCCUGCCGGUUGUGUGACUUCGGAUAAAUUACUUGAUGUCUCUGAGCAUAAGCUGGGUCAUCAGAAAAGCCAAGCUAGUAAGAGCACGUAGCUCAGAAGGCUGCUGUAAAGUUCAGAUGAGUUGAUAUAUGCUCAGUGCUGGAAAGGGUGCUGGGCACAUUAGCUGUUGGUAUUAUUUGGGCACCUCCAGCCC
rnacentral:lncRNA from 10 species